rnacentral:lncRNA from 1 species
CCGUUCCCCCGUGUGCACUCGCUGGUGCGUCAGGAGAUUGCCCGGCUGCGUGAAGCAUUUCCCACACUGGCUGCACAUGUAUGAGCGCUGCCUGGUGUGAAUCCUCUGGUGCAUCGUGAGGUCCCUGUUGGAGGCAAAUCUCUCCUUGCACUCAGCACAUGCAAAGUGCCACUCACGCACGUGGCUUUUCUGGUGCGUGUUGAGCGUGCCCUUCUGGGCAAAGCUCUUCCCACACUGACAGCAGGCGAACGGGCGCUCCCCCGUGUGGCACCGCUGGUGUGUCAGGAGAUUCACCUUCUGAGUGAAGCUCUUCCCACACUCCGUGCACUGGAAAGGCCGCUCCCCUGUGUGCACCCUCUGGUGCAGUUUGAGGAUGUCUUUCCUGGUGAAAUGUUUCCCACACUCAGUGCACAGGAACAGCCUCUCCCCGCUGUGCAGGCGCUGGUGCAUUUUGAGGUUGCCCGGGGCGAUGAAGCUCUUUCCGCACUCGGUGCACACGAAGGGCCGCUCCUCGCUGUGCAUGCGCUGGUGCAUUUUGAGGUUGCCCUUGGUGGUGAAGCAUUUCCCGCACUGGCUGCAGGGAAACAGCCCCUCCCCCGUGUGCACUCGCUGGUGUAUUUUGAGGUUGCCCUUCGUCAUACAGCUCCUUCCGCAUUCCGGGCACGAGAAUGGUUUCCUCUCCGUGGGCUCUCCCUGCUGGGCAGUCAGGCGUGUCCGCCCCUGCCGGCUGGCUCUGUGUCUCUGGGGCCUGAGGAGGGGCAUGAGUUUUUCCUGCAUAAUAUUUCUCUGCUGCUUUUGUGAUUUGCUCUGACUUUUGUAUCUUUGCUUUUUCCUUGAGUGCUGGUGGAGGUCCCCUCCAGUCUGUUCUGGGGAUGUCUUGGGAAGAUCCAGGGUUCUAGUACCUUCCUCAUCGUCAUCCUUCAUCUCACCAUCUGCUGCAGAGAGAAAAGCCCUGGCGUUAUCUCCUGAGCUAGUGACCGAGGGAAACUCCUGAUGUUCAGCACAUUCCAUUCCCAACCGCAGCCCAAGGAACCUGUCUCUUGGAAAAGCCUCCCUGCCCUCAGCUCCUGGGAAGCUACCCCCUUCAAGGAGUGGUUCCACUAACUACAGAGAAGCAGGUCUCGGGGCUUCCUCGAGUGUCUAUUGGCAAAGACACAGCCAGUGGGAAAAGACUGCCUUCGUGUUGCAUUUGACUGAACACGAAUUGCUGCCAUGAGGCUGAGCUCAGAAUAGUCUCCACAGCGAUCCCACGUGGUGGAAGUUAGCAUUGCUUUCUCCACCAGACUAACGAAGGGAUCAGGUCCCAAUGGACAGCUCAGGAAGUCCAUAGAAUCAUAGACUUUAAGGUCAGAAGGGACCAUUAUGAUCAUCUAGUCUGACCCCCUGCACAAUGCAGGCCACGGAAUCUCACCCACCCACUCCUGUAUCAAACCUGUGUCUGAGCCACUGAAGUGGAGACUCAAGGUGCAGAGAAUCCUCCAGCAAGUGACCCAUGCCCCACGCUGCAGAGGAAGGUGAAAAACCUCCAGGGCCUCUGCCAAUCUGCCCUGGAGGAAAAUUCCUUCCCAACCCCAAAUAUGGUGAUCAGCUAAACCAUGAGCAUGUGGGCAAGACUCACCAGCCAGCACCCAGGAAAGAAUUCUCUGUAGUAACUCCGAUCCCACCCCGUCUAACAUCCCAUCACAGGCCAUUGGGCAUAUUUACCGCUAAUAGUCAAAGAUCAAUUAA